UAUACUGAUAAUUGAGAGUAUUUAAAAUGUUUGUUUGAUUGAAAAUAUUUAAUGGGACUAAGAAAGCGCAAUGUUUAGUAUUAUUAUUGCACUAAGUGCGAUAUUCGUCGCAAGUGACGCAACAAGUAGUUGUCAUGAAGUGCAACAAUCGCACUUGGCCUCUCUUCACGAACGCAUGAAUCACAUGCUUAGCACACUAUACUCGUCACCAUUAUUCCCAAAGACUCCACCUACAACAACUACACCACCCAGUACCUCGACCCAGGAAUUAUCUUCACCUCAAGAACCAUCACAUUAUUCUUAUCCGCCACCAGUGGUCUACAUCCCAUCGCCAGCCACAUAUUACGGGAAUGAACCAGUAGUUCAACCUGAGUAUUCCCAACCAUGGACCUACGAACAAUACUACCAGUAUUACAAUCCCCCCACCCCUGUACCAGCUCCUGCCCCACCGAUACCACCUACUCCUGUAACUUAUCCCUAUCCACCUCCAACUUAUGAUUAUUCCUCUAUCCAUCCUCCAGAAUAUCCCUCCUAUAGACCUCCAUACCCCUAUCCAAACUACCCCCCUGCAACGUACCCUCCGGCUACGUACCCCCCUGCAGCCUACCCCCCUGCAACCUACCCCCCUCCAAGUUAUCCACAUUAUCAA